UACGUAGGGGGCAAGCGUUGUCCGGAAUCAUUGGGCGUAAAGCGCGCGUAGGCGGCCCGGUAAGUCCGCUCUGAAAGUCCAGGGCUCAACCCUGGAAAGCGGGUGGAUACUGCCGGGCUAGAAUCCGGAAGAGGCGAGUGGAAUUCCUGGUGUAGCGGUGGAACGCGCAGAUAUCAGGAGGAACACCAAUAGCGAAGGCAGCUCGCUGGGACGGUACUGACGCUGAGACGCGAAAGCGUGGGGAGCGAACAGG
rnacentral:rRNA from 1 species